rnacentral:rRNA from 1 species
AGGACGAACGCUGGCGGCGUGCUUAACACAUGCAAGUCGAGCGGAAAGGCCCUUCGGGGUACUCGAGCGGCGAACGGGUGAGUAACACGUGAGUAAUCUGCCCCUAGCUCUGGGAUAGCUCCGGGAAACCGGGAUUAAUACCGGAUACGACCACUACGGACAUCUGUGGUGGUGGAAAGAACUUCGGCUAGGGAUGAGCUCGCGGCCUAUCAGCUUGUUGGUGGGGUAACGGCCUACCAAGGCGACGACGGGUAGCCGGCCUGAGAGGGCGACCGGCCACACUGGGACUGAGACACGGCCCAGACUCCUACGGGAGGCAGCAGUGGGGAAUAUUGCGCAAUGGGCGAAAGCCUGACGCAGCGACGCCGCGUGGGGGAUGAAGGCCUUCGGGUUGUAAACCCCUUUCAGCAGGGACGAAGCGAAAGUGACGGUACCUGCAGAAGAAGCGCCGGCUAACUACGCGCCAGCAGCCGC